GGUGAAGGUGUGUGAGAGCGCCCGAGAUGGCAGAACAAGAGCUACAGGUUCUAAACAAGAUGAGACACAAAAUAAAGAUUAAAGAUGAAGGCCGAAUGUCAUCCCUCCUACUGAGAGAGGUACACACAAGCUUGUGACCUAGUGGAAGAAUGAAAUUGGGCCUGCAACCUGAAUUGAGUUCUAGUCCCCACCUGGUCCCAGGCCUGCAAAAUGCCCUGUGGAAGAGCAAAGAAAGCCAGUGCUGCCCAUAGGUGGGUACUGUUCAAGGGGAUGAAAGACAUCAAGAAGCUGAAAUAACAUGUUUAGUUAAUCUCCCCAAAUUUUCAAAUCAGCUUCACCAUGUGCCUUGCAGAUUUUAGUUCUCCAACCAGGGAUUGAACCUGGCCCUCACCAAUGUAAGCACCAAAUCCUAACCACUGGACCACUAGGGAAUUCCUUGUAUUACUUUUUAUAAUUAAG